CUCACAACUCUGAAUACUGACAGGGAUAGGAGUCUGCAUCCUGAUGAGCUGGCUUGUAGAUUGAAAUCUCAGAAGCAGGGAAGGUUGAAGAGGGGUACAGUCCCAGAGCCCAUGGGGUUAUUGCUGAGAAGAUACGCAAGGGUCACAUUCCCCAGGGGUAGAGUAGAAGCCCUUAGCCUAAAAUCACUGGGAACUCUGCAGAAGGGCAGGGUUGAUGCAGACUUCUCAGUGGAGGCCUCCUGGAAAAAAAUGAUCAUGAAAGGGAGUAGCUUGCCUGAAGGCAAUGGCUGGGCUCACCAGCUUCUUGCUUUGAAUCUCCAAUUAUUAAUACUAAGAGACCUUCAGGAUAGACUCAUGUGAGGGUGAAAUAAGGAAGCGAGUUUCUUGUAGAGGAGUGAAGAGGGUCCAUGAGGAACUAUAAUGACGGUGAUGCAAACCUCCCCAGGUCCUAGGAUAAUUGGAGAUUCCUGCCCAUGCUCCUACCCAAACCCAUCCCUAAAUCAACAAAAGGGGUUGGUCUCUCAGGGAAUAAGUGGACUCCUAGAAGCAGGAGAUGAUGGAGACUCGUGGUGGCAGGGAGGGAUCAGUGGUGACAUGGCUCCGCUCCUGCCUGGAAAAGUGAGUCUCCACAGUUCACUAACACAAUAUCAUCCAUGAACAAGUAGCCACAAAGACCACAGUCGACAAACACGCACAUACACAGACACGUAACAGGAGCUGGGCAAGACCACAGGCUGCAUGAGGGAGGCAAAUGUUAGUUGCAUCAUUAGGUUGAAGAAUGUUGUUAGAAGAGAUAGGGAUGGGCACAGGGAGAUGCACAAGUUCUUGCCUUCUCCUGGGAAAAUAUCUGUUGCUAAAGUGGCCGGUUUUCUUAAGCAUCGAUAUUUGCAUCUAAAGGUUCAAGCAGCUACCUUCCAGUUCCAGAGGCUGCCUACCUGUGGGCUGCACUUCAGUUUUUUGCUUUCUGGGGCUCUUUUGCAUUUGCAGUGAUGAAGUUUUCCACCUGAGCUUCCUUAUCUCCUGGAUCCUGGGGCUUCUGAUUGAAACUGCACUUGCACCUGUGACUUAGAAGAUGGCAGCUCGGCUGGGCACGGUGGCUCACACCUGUAAUCCCAGCACUUUGGGAGGCCGAGGCGGGCAGAUCACUUGAG
rnacentral:lncRNA from 10 species